UACAGAGGGGGCAAGCGUUGUUCGGAGUUACUGGGCGUAAAGGGCGCGUAGGCGGCCUGUUAAGUCAGACGUGAAAUCCCUCGGCUCAACCGGGGAACUGCGUCUGAUACUGGCGGGCUUGAAUUCGGGAGAGGGAUGUGGAAUUCCAGGUGUAGCGGUGAAAUUCGUAGAUAUUCGCAAGAACACCAGUGGCGAAGGCGGCUCACUGGCCCGGUACUGACGCUGAGGUGCGAAAGCGUGGGGAGCAAACAGG
rnacentral:rRNA from 1 species